GACGGGAGGAGAGAAGGCCCGUUCUGUCAGGUCCAGCUGCUUCUGCUUCUCAUAUCGGACUGACAGCUUCCUGGCCUGGAACAGGAUGCAUGGCUUCCCAUUGGUGAACACCUGGAUGGAAGAAAUGUGUAGCACUCACCCUGAGAGGAGGGAAGGGAACCGCAGCUCCUGGCGUCUGAAGUAACUUCCUCCGAGAUGCAUCUGGAGCCUGAAGGUACCAGAGCUCGGCUCGUCCACACCCGUCCGUCCCUCCAGGCUGUCUCCUCGUCUGGAGAGAGCAACAACACUCAUUUAAAGGCAUCUGAAUCAGGUUCUUAGAGGUAUUCAUGGUUAUUCAGGUUGAUAGAAACAUGGUUUCACUACUGCCUUGAUUUGCUUGGGAACUAUUUUCACUGUCAUGUAGCUAC